GCUCUACAGAAGCUCCUGCUGGCACCCUUGUUUCCCUUCCUGCCUAUGCUUGGCUGUAACUCCAGGACUGCAGAACCAAAAGUCCCAACAGAGCUUUACGAUGAACUCAUUCCCUUCAAGGAAACACCUCACCUAGCUACUCAGAGCUCUCUGGAUGUUCAUUUUUACCCACUGAAACAUCUGAUCCUUUCGUGCUUCCUGCAAAGCUCUUGGCGUCCCUGAUGACAAUGAUUUCCAUCUGUGCUCUCCCUCCGA
rnacentral:lncRNA from 1 species